GCGGUCCCUCCGGGAUGCGAGGAGGAGGACGGGGCAGACCCCGGGCGGGAGGAAGGGCGGGGUGAGGAUGGCGUGUGGGACUCAAAAUGCGGCCAAGCGCCGCUGCCGGGGCUUCGCUCGGGAAAAGCGUGCGGCGGCGAGGCGGGGGGAAGCCCCGCAAGGGCAGGUCCGCAGAGCUGUCGCUGCUGCUGUCGCUCGCAAUGAGCCGCUCUCGGAGCAGCGCCUCCCCACGUAGAAAAAUAAAAAAAUAAAACGGGCAGGGCGAGGGAGCCCGAGGCAUCCCCGGCACGGGGGAGUGCGUGUGUGUGUGCGGGGGGCGCCCCGCCGCCCCGCCGCCCCCCGCCGCACCGCAGCGUGCGGGCACCGAGCGCGAUGCGCCCCGGGCUGAGCUCUGCGGAAUAGCGCGGCCGCCGCUCGCUGUCCGCGGGCUGGGGGCGGACGGACCCGACCGCUGGCAAUUCCCUAUUGAUGUCCAUGAAUGCAAACACCAUGAUUUUCAUGAUCCUGGGCGCCUCUAUCGUUAUGAGUUGACCAGAUGCCUUGGUUAUGGGCUCUUACAGGCAAUAGCUUGCUUGAUGGACAUGAAUGCGUUGUUGGACAGAUUUCACAAUUACAUCUUGCCGCAUCUGAGAGGGGAAGACCGAGUUUGUCACUGCAAC